rnacentral:rRNA from 1 species
AGGAUGAACGCUGGCGGCGUGCUUAACACAUGCAAGUCAAGGGGGCCCAGCAAUGGGUAACCGGCGAACGGGUGCGUAACACGUGAGCAACCUACCGAAUUGUGGGGGAUAGCCGGCCCAACGGCCGGGUAAUACCGCAUACGCUCGAGACGAGGCAUUUCGACUCGAGGAAACCUACGGGACAUUUCGAGGGGCUCGCGGCCUAUCAGCUAGUUGGUGAGGUAACGGCUCACCAAGGCGACGACGGGUAGCU